GGGGCAUUUGUGAGAAGCGUGUGUGCAAAGCCUGAGAGACUCCCCUUUUGGGCAUGCUGCUGGGCAGGGGUGUUCUGGUUUGACUUUGUACAUCCUGGAAUACAGACAUGAUGGCUACCAUCUUGGACUAUGAACAUGAGGAUCACACCCAAGGGAAGGAGAGGCAGCAAGCUGGAAGGUACUAUGGAGCAGAACUGCCACAGCCUGAGUACCUACCUCUGGAACUUUCUGUGAGAAAUGAAAUGGGCCCAACAGUUCCAUAAACA
rnacentral:lncRNA from 1 species